rnacentral:rRNA from 1 species
AUUGAACGCUGGCGGCAUGCCUUACACAUGCAAGUCGAACGGUAACGCGGGGCAACCUGGCGACGAGUGGCGAACGGGUGAGUAAUAUAUCGGAACGUGCCCAGUAGUGGGGGAUAGCCCGGCGAAAGCCGGAUUAAUACCGCAUACGACCUAAGGGUGAAAGCGGGGGAUCGCAAGACCUCGCGCUAUUGGAGCGGCCGAGACCAGAUUAGGUAGUUGGUGGGGUAAAAGCCCACAAAGCCGACGAUCUGUAGCUGUUCUGAGAGGACGACCCGCGAAAGUGGGACGGAGAAACGGCCCAGACUCCUAGGGGAGACAGCGGUGGGGAAUUUUGGGCAAUGGGGGAAAGCCUGAUCCAGCCAUGCCGCGUGCGGGAAGAAGGCCUUCGGGUUGUAAACCGCUUUUGUCAGGGAAGAAACGCUCUGGGCUAAUACCCUGGGGUAAUGACGGUACCUGAAGAAUAAGCACCGGCUAACUACGUGCCAGCAGCCGCAGUAA